rnacentral:rRNA from 1 species
CCUACGGGAGGCAGCAGUGGGGAAUAUUGCGCAAUGGGCGAAAGCCUGACGCAGCGACGCCGCGUGAGGGAUGAAGGUCUUCUGAUCGUAAACCUCUGUCAGCAGGGAAGAACGGUCACUGUGCUUAUCAGCAGUGAAUUGACGGUACCUGCACAGGAAGCACCGGCUAACUCCGUGCCCGCAGCCGCGGUCAUACGGAGGGUGCGAGCGUUAAUCGGAAUUACUGGGCGUAAAGCGCUCGUAGGCGGUAUGGCAAGUCAAGGGUGAAAUCCCCGCGCUCAACGUGGGAACUGCCUUUGAAACUGGCAAACUGGAGUGUGUGAGAGGAUAGUGGAAUUCCAGGUGUAGGAGUGAAAUCCGUAGAUAUCUGGAGGAACAUCAGUGGCGAAGGCGACUAUCUGGAACAUAACUGACGCUGAGGAGCGAAAGCGUGGGUAGCAAACAGGAUUAGAUACCCGUGUAGUC